rnacentral:lncRNA from 1 species
GGUGAGCGCGCUACCGCUUGAGCCACAUUCCCAGCCCAAAAUUAUUGUUAUUUUUUUGGUAUACUGGGGAUUGAACCCAGGGCCUUGUGCAUGCAAGGCAUAUAUUUAUUUUUAAGCCACUUUACUUUGAAGAGAAUGGAUUAAAGGGCAUUAAAAUUAGAGGCCUAGAAGCUAAUGGGAGGUUGUUAGGAACAGUCUAUAUGAGAGAUAACAAUGCUAUUGGUUAGGAUUAUAGCAGUGGAAAUGGAGAGAAAAUUUUAAAUUUGCACUUUAGGAAGAAAUAUUAGAAUUGUUAAUUGAUUGGAUAAGGUAAGACUAAAAAAGAUUGCUCUCAGAAAUAUGGUCUAAGCUUCUGGUUAUAUUCACUAAACUGAGGCACUUUUGGAAGAAGACAGAGUAGGAAGAGGAUGUGUUCUGGUGCUAGUGGGAGGUCCAGUGGAGAUGUCAAGUAAGCAAUUGAAUCCUUCACUCAUGCUUAGAAAAACCUGAAAACAGAUGAUCUAGUGUAAAGAUAAUUGAAGCAAGGACUCUCUUGUGAGAUAGUGUAGAAUAGGAAGAGGAGGAAUCCUGGUGAACUUGAAUACUUAGUUUUUGUAUAGACAGGGAGCAGCUUGUGAAAUCUGAGAAGUAUCUGUAACACAGGUGGGAAAGUUAUUUUUCCAUAGAAUUGGCAUGGAGGGUGCCAGGUGGAGUAUGUUACAGGCAGGCUCUUCAUUGUCUUUCCAGUAAUCUUACAUGACUGUUUAUGUUCUUAUUUAAAUUAGAUUCCUAUAAAUUUCUAGACAUGUCUUCUAAGGAUUGAAUUUAUUUUUUACGUUUUCAAACUAUUGUGCUUUUCCCGAUUCUGACUGUUUAAUCAACUAAUUGAUGUCUUUUCCCCUUAAGUUUUGCUAUCUAACUCUUACUGUGUAGUUAAUAGAUUAGGUUUGUGAUAACUAGUCAGGUCUAUGCAUUUAUUUUUAACUUAUCUUUGAUCCAGACUGCUUAAUAUGGUCUAUUAUGUCUUUAGCCUUGUAGGCAAAAUUCAGGCCAAGGAACAGAAUGCCUGUGAUUGGGAGGGGUUCUAAAAUAUACACACAAAAUAUUUGGAUUUAAAACCAUCAUAAAAAUAGAUUUAAGCAAUUAGAUGGUUGAUUCAAGCUAUUUUUUUUAACUGGAGUUUUUAACAUCCGGGUAAUACUUCUCUACUUUGAACUAUAAGUGCCUACUAUCUGAAAGCAGAUAUUAUAAAUAUUACCUUCAAAAGGCAUUAUGACCUCCAAAUCUUUUUAAAGGUUUUAUUCUAAUAACUAUUGUUACUUUAAAUUUUCCAGCUUAGUGAUAAGAAUCUGGAUGCUUGAAUGUUUUUAAAGUUUAGAUUUUAUCACAUUUUAAGUUAGAAACCCCAGUUUAUGUGUAGUUUAUUUCCUAGAAAGGGGAGGGAAGGGGUUUAGCUUUUAAGAAAAGCCAUAUUUUUUAUGACAAGAGUCAGUGUUUGGGAUCAGCCUUUUAAUUUCUGAACUGUGACUAGCUACCUUAUGUAUGAUUGUGAUUAUGUUUGAAUAUAUGAGAAAGGGAGAGAAGGUCAAACAAAGCACAAAGGUGAAGAAGUAAAUGAAGUGUUUUUGUUUCAACUCAGGUCAGAAAGUUUUCUGAGUCAGGCACAGUGGUGCACGCCUGUAAUUGCAGUGGCUUGGGAGGCUGAGGCAGGAGAAUCCUGAGUUCAAAACCAGCCUCAGCAACUUAGCAAGGCCCUAAGCAACUCAGUGAGACCCUGUCUAAAUAAAAAAAAAUAAUAAUAAAGUUGGGGAGGGAGCUGGGGAUGUGACUCAGUGGUUGAGUGCCCCUGGGUUCAAUCCCUAGUACCCCUCCCUCCACUUUGAGUUGAGUUUUGUGCAUGGUGAGAGAUAGUGGUUUAGUUUCAUUUUGCUGCGUAUGGCUUUCCAGUUUUCCCAGCACCAUUUGUUGAAGGAGGCUAUCUUUUCUCUGAUAAAUGUUUUAGUGCCUUUGUCUAGUAUAAGAUAACUAUGCAUGUGGGUUGGUCUCUGUGUCUUCUAUUCUGUACCAUUGGCCUAUAUAGUCUAUUUUGGUGCCAAUACUGGGCUGUUUUUGUGUUACUAUUGCUCUGUAGUAUAGGUUUGGUAUUGUGAUGCCUCCUGCUUUACUUUUCUUGCUAAGGAUUGCUUUGGCUAUUUUGGGUCUCUCUAUUUUUCCAAAUGAAUUUCAUGAUUGCUUUCUCUAGUUCUAUGAAGAAUGUCAUUGGGAUUUUUAUAGGAAUUGCAUUAAAUCUGUAUAACAACUGAGCAGACACUUCUCAGAUAAAGAUACACAAGCGAUCAACAAAUAUAUGAAAAAGUGUUCAACAUCUUCAGUAAUUAGGGUAGUUUUGAUUUACAUUUCUCUAAGAUUUCAUCUCACCUCAGUCAGAAUGGCAGUUAUCAAGAAUACAAGCAAUAAUAACUGUUGGAGAGGAUGUGGGGAAAAAGAUACACUCAUACAUUGCUGGUGGGACUGCAAAUUGGUGCAACCACUUUGGAAAGCAGUGUGGAGAUUCUUCAGAAUCUUGGAAUGGAAGCAUCAUUGACCCAGCUAUCCCACUCCUUGGUCUAUACCCAAAGGACUUAAAAUCAGCACACUAUGGUGACAUAGUCACACCAAGGUUUAUAGCAGUUGAAUUCACAAUAGCUUAAACUGUGGAACCAACGUAGAUGCCCAUCAAUAGAUGAAUGGAUAAAGAUGCUGUGGUGUGUGUGUGUGUGUGUAUAUGCAAUGGAAUUUUACUCGAAUUAAAAGAAUAAAAUUAUGGCAUUUGUAGGUAAAUGAGUGGAGUUGGAGAAUAUUAUGCUAAGUAAAGUAAGCCAGUCCCAAAAAACUAAAGGUUGAAUGUUUUCUCUUAUUAGUGGAUGCUGAUCUAUAAUGGGAGGAGGGGACAUGGGAAGAAUGGAGGAAAAUUGGGUUGGGCAAAGGAGAGGGUGGGGAGAGGUUAAAGUAAUAAGAAAGAUGGUGGAAUGAGAUGGACAUCAUUACCCUAGUUAAUGGUGUGUGUUUACACCGUGUACAACCAGAGAAUUGAAAUGUUGUGCUCCAUUUGUGUAUGAUGAAAUGCAUUCUGCUGUCAUGUAUAACUAAGUAGAACAAAUAAAAAUGUAAACAAAAAUACCAUUUAUAUUAGGACCCUCACCCCAAAUGAAAUUCAUGGAUAUUAAUCUAACAAUAUGUUCAAGAUCUGUAUGAGGAAAAACACAGAUAUCUGAUGGGAGAAAUUAAAUAAAUGGAGACUAUCCCAUGCUUUUGGAUAGACGAAUUUUUCACAUUUUAUAAAUUCAUCCCAAUCCCAAUCAAAAUCCCAGAGGAUCCUUUUUUAGAUAUUGAUGAACAGAUACUAAAGUCUGUAUGGAGAGGCAAAAGACCUGAAAUACACAAUAUUGGAGAAGUCAACUUAAAGACUUACUAUAAAACAACAGUAAUCUAGAUGAUAUGCUAUUGCUGAAAGAAUGAACAGACAGGCCAAUGUAACGGUGUAGUGAGCCCCCAAAGAAACCCACACAUAUAUAGACCUGGUACAUCACUAAAAAACAAAAGCAUUCAGUAGGGGUGAGGAUAGUCUUUUCGACAAAUGGUAUGGGAAAACAGCAUCUGUAUGCAAAAGUAAAAUUGAAUCAGAAUCUUAAAUAAAUUUUCACAAAUUAACUCAAAAUGGGCAUUUACCUACAUGUAAACUGUAUAAGGCAACGUAGAAAAAGUCUAGAUGGCUUUAGGCCUGGCAGUGACUCUCUAGAUGAAAUAUCAAAGGCACACUCCAUGAAAGAAAUGGUUAAAUUGGAUUUCACUAAAACCAAAAUUUUCUGCUCUGCAAAAGACAAGGGAAUAAGAAGAGAAAUGAUGGAUUGGAAGAAAAUAUUUGCAAUGAG